AAAUUCCGCCAAGCCAUAGUCAAAAUGGGCGAAGACAGCGAUGUAGAGGUAUUGAUAUAAUAUGAAUAUAUAUAUUAUUCUCAUUCAACCGUAAAACUUGAUAACUUUAACACAUUUCUUUACGUUUAAUAUUUGAACGUUUGUUAUACAUUGCAUUAGAUCGGAACAAUGAAAUCUGGACGUUUUGAGUGUGAAAUUGUAAUGGUAUAUAUCGUGUCGACGGUCAAGCACAUGGUUUUGUAUUAGCAAUUUUUAAUAUUUUCAAGCGUUUCGCUUCUGUAAUUCAAGUUCAUAUACAUAUAUACACCAAUAGCAAGCUUGCGUUUGCCGAGUUUUGAAACAUAUAUGAGUAGAGUGCUUGUCGACAGUCGACACGAUAUAUACCAUUAAAAUUUCGAAGUGACUAUAUGGCCGGUCACGGUUUAUUAAAUGGGCUAUUACAUUUAAUAUCCGUACCCCCCCUGUCGAGGACCUCAUUUUCCAAGGGGGAAAUUAGUCAUUUUUUCCAGAGGGGUAAUUGGGAAAAAUGGAAGAAAAAUGCUCUUUCCAGAGGGGUUAAAAAGCAAAAAAGCACUUCCAGAGGGGGUUCAAGUCUCUUCCAGAGGGGUCAAUUACACAGAUUUUCUUGCAUUCCAGAG
rnacentral:lncRNA from 1 species